rnacentral:rRNA from 1 species
UACGUAGGUGGCAAGCGUUGUCCGGAUUUACUGGGCGUAAAGAGCGCGCAGGCGGUCGUGCAAGUCGCGUGUGAAAGCCCCCGGCUCAACUGGGGAGGGUCACGCGAUACUGCUCGACUUGAAGGCAGGAGAGGGAAGUGGAAUUCCCGGUGUAGUGGUGAAAUGCGUAGAGAUCAGGCGGAACACCCGUGGCGAAGGCGGCCAGCUGGGCCGUCCCUGACGCUGAGGCGCGAAGGCGUGGGGAGCGAACGGG